UCACAUUAAAGGUUUUAAUGAUCAUUGGUCAGGGAGACUCCUUUGGAGUUGGGCGAGCCCAUUAUCAGACCAGAGGCCACAGGACUGCCGCUGAAAACUUGUAUUGCACUCCAGGCAAAGUGCAGGGAGCCUCUAUAUUAAACCAUGGAAAGCUGGCAGGCUAGAUAGAGAGGCUUUUUUUUGACACGCUGUAUGCACAAAUAUUUGAUUUUGCUAGCUAAUGAAUCAUGUCUUGGCUUGAGAAGGCUGGUAUCACUCUAAAUCUCUCUUGGCUCCGGAAGACUUAUCCUGGAAAGUCUCCCAUGAUGCCCUGAUCGAUUGGGAUCUAGUGAAGGGCUGUGGUGAGAAACUAGUGCUGAUACCGAUGACUCAGGUUUGGAGUGGUGCAGCCUGUGAGUGCAGCCAGGAGCUGCACACUCCUGGACAGACUGCCACAACCUUGGGAAGCACAGUGCCUUGCACUUGCGUCAGCUCUGGCUUCCACGUUUGUACUUUUUUUUUCUGUACUCUUCACCAGGGAUCUAGCUGACUUCACCUGAAAUGCAAUGGCAAAAUCCUGGGCAGCUCCCCUGAGCACACUGCUGAUUUGAACUGCGCAGCUCAUCUGGUCACAAGGGACCACCAGGAUCAGAGAUGAAACCUGCUGCACGCUGGCAAUGGGCUCAGCUCACUCUCCUUUUCCUGACCUGCUCUGCCCGCAGACUGAGUGCUCCGGGCUUCGCCAGAUCAACCACCAUGAACUAGUGAAAGGAAAGGAACUGUGGGAAGCGAAUUUUGACACGAAUGACAUCGGCAGCGUCCUGCCUGCGAGCUCUGGGCUGCUUUCAGAGCGGGAUGUCAGAAGAAUCAGCACAUUUACCUCACCUGUUCCUUGGCUUCUGCUCAGAGAAAUGUCCAUCAGGUGUUUAGAACUUAUCUGAAUGUUGUACCUCUCAAACACCUGCAGUGCUUGCUGCUGGUAUGCUGUGUUUUCUUAGUGUCCUCCUUUCCUUCUGUUCUUCCUGCCCAUCAAACUCAGAGAAGGAAGCAAGGCUGACUUCUGGAUGGUUUAGCUGGCAGGUUGAGAAAUGCAGUACAGAUUGCUCCAGAGAGGAGGGAAAAAUGGUUCUCACCGUUUUGAAGCAGGUUAAAGGGAAUGGUAAAUACCAAUAUCAGCCAACUUGCAGAGGUGCAGUGGCUUGUCUCAGGGAAUUGCAGGGCUGAAAGCUGGCUGUCUGAGACUCUGAACUAUACUUGUAACUCAUAACAAUCCCCUUCAGUGAGCAAUGUUUUGUCUGUGGUAGAUAUAUUUCUGUAAUCCCGAGUAUUCAGUGCUUUUCACCUUCUACAGUCAUUAACAUUGGCAAUAAAUAUGUAUGCAUCUAUGUUAACACCUUUAAAUUACAUUAUACUUGCUCUGUGAUUAAUUUAAUCUAUUAUGUCUGUUAUCCUGUAAAGCAAAUGUCUGCCUGAUAUUAGAUUACAUUAUGGUUUGCUGGUUUUCCUUUUUACAAAAAGGAGAGAAUUUAGGGGAAGUUACUGUAAUUUCAUGUCCAUUUUUGCCCAGUGUGCAAAAGUAGACUGGGACCCAAAACUAUGGCCAGUGACUGCAGCGCUGAGCUCUACAGCUAUUAAAGGUAUGUAAAUGCUUGAUUUCCAGUUACAUUACUGGGUCACAGUCUAAAGCAUUCUGCUAAUAUUUAAUAUUCAGACUUCAGGCAUAGACACACCUUCACUUACUGCUGUUAACCUGUGGUUGCUGCUUCUUUCCUGGAGGGUUUCACCUCCAGAACUGAGGUGCCAGAACACAUGGACACAAACGAGUCUCAAUGUUCAGGUGUAGCGGUUCAGCCACAUGGACAGUAACCCCAGCAGGAGAGGGGGCUGAAACACUUCCAGGUAAUUUUGUAAGAGGAGAUCUAACUGUACUCCUGAGGCACUUGCUUGCACUGCAAAAUUUCACCCUACUUUUUAAAUUUAGAUUUUGGACAUGUUCAUAAGUCACUUUUCUAUUUUGUUAUUCAUUGUUAGUAACAGAGAAGUGCCAUGGGAAGCUACAUCAAGUCACAGACAAGGAUGCCAUUAUGCUGGGUACUACACAGAUACAGGCUGAGAAGAGAGUUUGAAGAGUUAUAGUAUAUUUAAUUUGCCAUUUUUUUGUCAUUGACUCAAAUUAUAGUUACAAAAUGCCUUAAAUCUGUAUAACUAACUUUUCCAGGGAAAGGAAAAGGAACUCUGUAGCCUAAAGUUUGCCCUUUCUCUUAUGCAAAGUUAAUGCAGUCAAUGCAAAUACAUUUUCCAUAGAGGAAGCUUUGUUUACUUGCUGUUUCCUGCUGACCCUGUUUUCGCAUUGUUGCUAGUGCUCUGUGCUUGUUUCCCAUCUGCUGCCUGCAGACUCCCCACUUCACCUUGCUUCCUGGAUCAGCUUUUCUUUCUUCUCUAUUUUUUUUCUUUCCCCAUUUUUAACAAUUACACUGAAAGCAGUGGUCAAAAGUUGAAAGUGAAAUAAAUCAUGGGUAAAAAUGGAAGAAGUGAGCUAUAGUCUGACUGAGAAAUUCCAGAGGCCCAAGUAUCUGGAUGACAAAGUAACUAGGAUAAGGAGAGGAUGUUAGUUGUAAUUAAAGUCUGUUUUCCAGGUUGGAGGGCAAAUUUAAUACCAGGGGACAAUAUCCAAUUUCCAUAAUAAGUCCUAAAGGCAGCUGGGAACACAUCUCUGUGGAGUAACAUGUGUGUCCCUUUACCCCAAUUAUAUCAAGUAAUUGUGGGCAAGGUGGGAAUGACACCAAAAGGAUAUGUUUGUUUUGUCCUGCCCAAGAGUUACACUUCUGGAGCAUAAAUUCCCACUUAAGUCAGUUUUCUUGUUCUCCUCUGAAAACCUAUGAGAAUUUUUACCAGUUAGAGUUGCUAGGUGGUCUUUCCAGUGCUAGAGAAACAGAGGAAAACAUGGCCAGAAACAUGGAUCUGGAGAAGGAAAGUCAUAAUCUGAGUGUCCUGUUCUGUUCCUCCUUUCUCACAGUAUCAAGCAUAGACCAAACAUCACUGGCUCGAUCUGCAUGUCUCACCACUGCCCACUGCUAUUACCCAUCAACUAUCCCUCUCCCUUUAUCCUAUGAUUUUUUCAUUUAUUUAGUAACUGAUUUUCUAUAAGUAUUUUUUCUCUUAUAUACUAGUGGAGCAUCUAACCACAACUUGAAAUUCCCACAUUGCCUUUCAAACAAUGUCUCUGUACCAUCUCUGGUCAACAGAACGGAGCAACGAGCAUGUUUUGAUUUCAACUUCUCCCCUUCACUCUUUCACUGGUACGUUGUGCUUCCACAUCCACUGUUUUUACCUGUUAUGUUUUGUCCCUGACUUGGGCCAAGUGUUCAAGGACAGCAACCACCUUUUUGUUAGGUCCACAAGGGCUUAUAGGAAGGCUGAUUGAUGCAGUACUGCAAUAAAAAUAGUAAGCAUUAGGUGAUAGUGUGGUUGCAAUCAUCACAAUGGAACAGUACAGAACUGGAGAGAAUUCUACAAAACAAACAAACAGAAGUAGAAACUCAAGAAACAGAAUAAACAAAAGGACACUGAAACGAAGAAAAAAAUCAAGAGAAAAAUGUAAACGGGAACAGAUGCGAAGUAACAAAAUAAGAAGGUAAAGAAAUUUUGCAGAAAAAGAUAUGAGAGUGAGAGAAAGAGCAAGAGAAAUGCUUGAAGAUGGAAACAACAAAAAAAUUACAGAGUUCUAGUACUUCUUAUUCAGACCAGGUUUUCUGCCACCUUUCCUGUGAAAGCUUUGUUCAGACUUGCAGAAUCACAGAAUUGGUGAGGCUGGAAGGGACAUCUGGAGAUGAUCUACUCCAUUCUCCUUGUUUUGAUGAACUUCAUGAAAUUCUUGUCUGCCCAUUUCUCCAGCCUGUUGAAGUCUCUCUAAACGGCAUCAUAACAAGCUGGUGUAUCAACCAGCCCUUCCAAUUAGUAUGUCUUGCAAACUUGUUGAGGGUGCACUGCACCCCAUCAUCAACGUCUUUGAUGAAGAGGUUAAACAGUACUGGACCCUGUAUUGACCUGUAGGGUUCAACACAAGUGACUGGACUUUGUGCCACUUAUUGCAAGCCUCUGCACCUCUGAGCAGUUUGGUUUUCAACCCACCUCAUUGUCCACUUAUCUAGGCCACACUUCAUUGGUUUGUGUACGAGGAUAUUACGGGAGACAGUGUUGAAAACCUUCACUGAAGUCAAGAUAAAAAACAUCCACAUCAUCAGAGAAGGCCAUCAGGUUGUUCAUGCAUGAUUUCUGCAGACCACUUCCAAUCACUCUUGACCAUCAUAUGUUUCAGAUGUUUUUUUCAGGAUGAUUUGCUUCAUCACCUUCCCAGGGAUUGAGGUGAGGCUGACUGGCCUGCAGUUCCAAAAAUUCUUCUUGCCCUUCUUGAAGAUGAAUGACAGGAAACCCCCAGUUGCCAUGACUUUUCAAAGAUUAUAAAAAAGGACCUUGUAAUGACUUUAGCCAGCCCCUUCUGCACUUACAGGUUGCAUCCCCUCAGGUUCCAUGGAACGUAUGUCCCUAUUGUCUAAAUGUUCCCUAACCUGAUCCUCAUUUCUGACUGACUUUUUGGAAGACAUUCAGCCAAGAACUGAAGCCUUCACAUCAAACAUAGUAUGUCAAACUGCAACCAACUGAAAUCUGUUGCUUUGGGUGGAAGAUGGCUUGUAAAAAGUGAUGCUAACAGUAUGUGAUGUGUGUGUGUGUGUGUGUGCGCGUGUGUGUGUGCAUUACAGUGUUCUUAAUCUAUUAAAGAUGGUACUCAGUCCAUUUACCUUUA